UACGAAGGGGGCUAGCGUUGCUCGGAAUUACUGGGCGUAAAGCGCACGUAGGCGGCUUUCUAAGUCGGGGGUGAAAUCCUGGAGCUCAACUCCAGAACUGCCUUCGAUACUGGAAAGCUCGAGUCCGGGAGAGGUGAGUGGAACUGCGAGUGUAGAGGUGAAAUUCGUAGAUAUUCGGAGGAACACCAGUGGCGAAGGCGGCUCACUGGCUCGAUACUGACGCUGAGGUGCGAAAGCGUGGGGAGCAAACAGG
rnacentral:rRNA from 1 species